UACGGAGGGUGCAAGCGUUAUCCGGAUUCACUGGGCUUAAAGGGUGCGUAGGCGGGUAAGUAAGUCCGUGGUGAAAUCUCUGAGCUUAACUCAGAAACUGCCGUGGAUACUAUUUGUCUUGAAUAUUGUGGAGGUGAGCGGAAUAUGUCAUGUAGCGGUGAAAUGCUUAGAUAUGACAUAGAACACCAAUUGCGAAGGCAGCUCACUACACAAUCAUUGACGCUGAGGCACGAAAGCGUGGGGAUCAAACAGG
rnacentral:rRNA from 1 species